CAAUUACACCUCAAUGAAGUCAUGAAUAUGUACCAAGUGAGUCAAGUCAUGGAUCAAACACAAACCAUUAGACAAAACAAAGUUCAUUGUAUAGUGGACCAACAAGAUUAUUCUAAUUUCAAUUAAAUGCAAGGCUAAAAAACUUGAUUUUGGGAGAGCAAGAAAAAAACUUAAAGUAAAUUGGAGAUGAUAUGAAGAAAGCUUGCUGCUAUUUUUGGAUGUUGGAUACUGCUGCUUUUGGAUGUCGGAUGAUGUUGUUUUGUUUUGGAUUUGUUUAUUGUUGUUUGCUAUUUUAGUUUUAGGAACAGAAUUGGAAUAUAAAAGGCUAUUUAUUGAGGUUGA